GCGCAGGUGGCAGAGCGGUCAAUUGCAAUGGACUGUAAAUCCAUCGCCCUAGUGGCUACGGGGGUUCAAAUCCCUCCCUGCGCA
rnacentral:tRNA from 2 species